CAGUUAUAUUAUUACCUACGUUGUAUUAAUUUUGUGUUAUCUGUAAUUGCAGAUAUAUUAUGCGAUAAGUUUGGUUUUUGAGAUGCAAANUUUUUAUAAAAUAAUAAUCGGAACCGUUAUUUCAAUAUUUGUAAAAGUCAUUCUAGGGAAAUUAGUUAUACCUUGGUUGGGGGUUAAAUUGUUGAAGAAAUCCAAUCGCGGUAACGGGGAAAGUAAAUAAAAAAUAAGAUUUCUUUAGUCUAAGACGUAUUAUAAGAUUGAUUUGAAUAAUAUUAUUUAUGAAUUUGUUUAAAUAUUAAUGCAUGCGGGGUAUAGAUCAUUAGUGAGAUGGUCAUCCCAUGUUAAAACAUGUUUUCUUCAUAGUAUUAUAUGUUCAAAAAUUAUUUUUUUUAUUAAUUGUAUAACACUUUCACAAAUAUUUUUUUUUUGUAUUACCUUAUAUUAUUACCAAUGCCGAUACGGUAUACAAUGUAAAGUGUACAUUGUACACUAGUAAAAAACACAC